rnacentral:snRNA from 1 species
UUUUCUUUUCUGUAUGUGAUGUGAUCUUCUGAAUAAAGCUCUGGUUGAAAAAAAAAAAAUCUGUUCUUAUCAGUUUAAUAUCUGAUACGCCCUCUAUAUGAGGGCUACAUAUUAAAUGGAUUUUUAGAACAGGAGCGGUGCACCUUCC